rnacentral:rRNA from 1 species
GACGAGCGCUGGCGGCGUGCUUAACACAUGCAAGUCGAACGGAAAGGCCCUGCUUUUGUGGGGUGCUCGAGUGGCGAACGGGUGAGUAACACGUGAGUAACCUGCCCUUGACUUUGGGAUAACUUCAGGAAACUGGGGCUAAUACCGGAUAGGAGCUCCUGCUGCAUGGUGGGGGUUGGAAAGUUUCGGCGGUUGGGGAUGGACUCGCGGCUUAUCAGCUUGUUGGUGGGGUAGUGGCUUACCAAGGCUUUGACGGGUAGCCGGCCUGAGAGGGUGACCGGCCACAUGGGAACUGGGAUACGGCCCAGACCCCUACGGGGGGCAGCAGUGGGGAAUAUUGCACAAGGGGCGGAAGCCUGAUGCAGCAACGCCGGGGGCGGGAUGCCGGCCUUCGGGUUGUAAACCGCUUUCGCCUGGGACGAAGGGGGAGUGACGGUAAUGGGUAAAGAAGCACCGGCUAACUACGU